UCCGGUUUGUCACCGGCAGUCUCACUAGAGUGCCCAACUGAAUGUGGCAACUAAUGACAAGGGUUGCGCUCGUUGCGGGACUUAACCCAACAUCUCACGACACGAGCUGACGACGGCCAUGCAGCACCUGUCAUUAGGCUCCCGAAGGCACCCCUCUGUUUCCAGAAGGUUCCUAAGAUGUCAAGCCUGGGUAAGGUUCUACGCGUAGCGUCAUAUUAAACCACAUCAUCCUCUGCUUGUGCGGGUCCCCGUCAAUUCCUUUGAGUUUUAGCCUUGCGGCCGUACUUCCCAGGCGGCAUACUUAUCGCGUUAGCUGCGUCUCGCAGGGGGUCGAUACCCCAUAAGACUAGUAUGCAUCGUUUACGGCGUGGACUAC
rnacentral:misc_RNA from 1 species